CCCGCACAAGCGGUGGAGGCAUGUGGUUUUAAUUCGAAGCAACGCGAAGAACCUUACCAGGUCUUGACAUCCCGAUGCUAUUUCUAGAGAUAGAAAGUUACUUCGGUACAUCGGUGACAGGUGGUGCAUGGUUGUCGUCAGCUCGUGUCGUGAGAUGUUGGGUUAAGUCCCGCAACGAGCGCAACCCCUAUUGUUAGUUGCCAUCAUUCAGUUGGGCACUCUAGCGAGACUGCCGGUAAUAAACCGGAGGAAGGUGGGAUGACGUCAAAUCAUCAUGCCCCUUAUGACCUGGGCUACACACGUGCUACAAUGGUUGGUACAACGAGUUGCGAGUCGGUGACGGCGAGCUAAUCUCUUAAAGCCAAUCUCAGUUCGGAUUGUAGGCUGCAACUCGCCUACAUGAAGUCGGAAUCGCUAGUAAUCGCGGAUCAGCAUGUCGCGGUGAAUACGUUCCCGGGUCUU
rnacentral:rRNA from 1 species